GAGGAACGCAGCACUGCCCGUUGCCGCAGCCGCCGCGGCACUCCAGGCGCGGUACUUUGGAGGCAGUGGCACACGACGUGUACCCCUGCUGCUUACGGACCACCUCUCGAAUGACCUCUCCUUGGCAGAGAUUCUCUGACUAAUCUGUGAGUGUUGGAGCAGACACCUGCCAGCAGGACACUACCCCCCUGGACACAAAGGCCUUGGCUUUAAGGACACAACUCCAAAGGGCUGAAGUGAUUUAAUGAAAGGGACCGGCAAAUACCGUGCUUGCAGAUGUUACAGGAUUUGCAGCCAGGAAGGACUCCUAGUGACUGCUGUGGUAAAUCCUUGAAAUCCUGCAGCUCGUUAUUGAUGCGGACAUCGUGAAUACAUCCAUGAAAACCAUUUGGUGUCUUAUCUGCACCCUGGCGCAGCGAAGAUAAUCCAGUAGAGGUCGGGAUCCCUUCAGAUAAAAACAAAAAGAGAAGGUUUACCCACAGUUACAAUGAUGCAGACAGCUACCACCUCCGGGACACAGCCAGGGAGUUGGGCAUUACUCCAUCCCGGCAUUGAGACAGGGAGUGGUAGGAGUGCACCCCACUGAACCCAGCGCAGCGAACAGCACUUCAGGAGACCAGGCCAACUCUUUGUGGUGAGUACCUUCCAUCUUGCUCAAGUGCUUGGAAGAGAUCAUGCGCUCAGAUGGCCAGCAGAUUCUUUUGGAUGCUGUGUUACACCCUCCCCACCGACAUCCGCCUGGGCUGUGCA